CAGGAAACUACCUGAAGCCCCGGGAACUGAUGCAGCCAAUCAAGAUCCGUCGAAAGAAGCGAGGGCAGAGCGAGGGGUAGGAGAUCACUGGUGUGGGGAGAGGGGUGGAGCCUCGCUGCAGGGCAGAAGAGGAGGGAGGGGCCAACAGAAUGCAUGGCAGCAGCUUACCCCGUCCUCUGCCUCAGGAUGGCUUCCCAGUGAUAAAGUGGCAGAGAGGUCAGGUCAAACCCAUCCCCUUCCAUUUCCUACCCAUGUAAUUCUACUAGGCUCUGACCUACAAACCAUCACCAUUCAACCCCGCCCCACCUCCAUCCCCACCUCGACCCCCCUUUCCUCACGUCACGGCCCCUUUCCUGGCCCCCACCCAGGCCUUCCUACACCCUGCCCCUUUCCCCUGUGGUGCCCCCCCACACACACCUCUAAUCCUGGGCAGAGUAACACACAACUUGCCCAGGUAUACACGCCUCAACCAGAACACAGCAACAAACCUCUAACCCUGGGCAGAGUAACACACACCUGGCCCAGGUAUACACACCUCAACCAGAACACAGCAACAAACCUCUAACCCUGGGCAGAGUAACACACACCUGGCCCAGGUAUACACGCCUCAACCAGAACACAGCAACAAACCUCUAACCCUGGGCAGAGUAACACACACCUGGCCCAGGUAUACACGCCUCAACCAGAACACAGCAACACACCUCUAACCCUUAGACUGGAGAAGAAAGACUAAGGCGUUACCAGGGGUGGAGUCUCGAAGGGCAACGGCCCAAUCAGACCAAAGCCCGGCCAGCAGCAGAGUCUGACACUACCCAGAAAUCCCCACCCCUACCCAAUCCCCCAAUCAGAACCCCCGAGAAGCUCAGACGUGAGAGUGCUAAGCCAAUCAGACAGAGCGAGAAGAAUGUGAGGGGACUGUCUGGGGCAGUGGCUAUUGUGAAGAGAGAGAGAGGCAGACCGAAGGUUACUAGCUCUCCAGCUACACCUGUACAGACCAGCCUUGCAGAACAGAUCAGCCUAGAGGGAGAAACAAGGAGGAGGAAGAAAAAGAGGAGAGUAGAAGCCUCAGCUGGGGUGGGAGAAAGGACCAGAGCCAGGGAGGACAAGCAAGAAACAGAGCCAGCGAGGACAAGCGAGAAACAGAGCCAGCGAGGACAAGCGAGAAACAGAGCCAGCGAGGACAAGCGAGAAACAGAGCCAGC
ensembl:lncRNA